UGGGCUAGAAUGUUACAUGACCGGUCCUGAAAGGGAUUUUCAUAGCAAUAUGUAUGUAAUA
rnacentral:rRNA from 1 species